AGAGUUUGAUCCUGGCUCAGAUUGAACGCUGGCGGCAGGCCUAACACAUGCAAGUCGAGCGGAAACGAGUUAUCUGAACCUUCGGGGAACGAUAACGGCGUCGAGCGGCGGACGGGUGAGUAAUGCCUAGGAAAUUGCCCUGAUGUGGGGGAUAACCAUUGGAAACGAUGGCUAAUACCGCAUAAUACCUAUGGGUCAAAGAGGGGGACCUUCGGGCCUCUCGCGUCAGGAUAUGCCUAGGUGGGAUUAGCUAGUUGGUGAGGUAAUGGCUCACCAAGGCGACGAUCCCUAGCUGGUCUGAGAGGAUGAUCAGCCACACUGGAACUGAGACACGGUCCAGACUCCUACGGGAGGCAGCAGUGGGGAAUAUUGCACAAUGGGCGCAAGCCUGAUGCAGCCAUGCCGCGUGUGUGAAGAAGGCCUUCGGGUUGUAAAGCACUUUCAGUCGUGAGGAAGGUAGUGUAGUGAAUAGCUGCAUUAUUUGACGUUAGCGACAGAAGAAGCACCGGCUAACUCCGUGCCAGCAGCCGCGGUAAU
rnacentral:rRNA from 1 species